rnacentral:rRNA from 1 species
CUAGAUAAUGACAAGGGCAUUCUGUGGAUGCCUUGGCGUAUAGAGGCGAAGAAGGACGUGCCAGACUGCGAAAAGUUCAGGGGAGCUGUCAAGAAGCGAUAAUCCUGAAAUGUCCGAAUGGGAAAACCCCUCUCUUUUUAGAGAGAUCCCGAGGCUGAAUUCAUAGGCCUAGGGAAGCGAACCUGGAGAACUGAAACAUCUCAUGUACCCAGAGGAAAAGAUAUCAACGAUACUCCGUCAGUAGUGGCGAGCGAACGCGGAUGAGGCCAAUGCUCUUAUCGGUUGUAACUAGAAUGACUUGGAAAAGUCAGCCAUAGAGGGUGAUAGCCCCUUAUAGAGUGAAUGACCGAAAGAGAUAUGAGUAGGGCGGAACACGUGAAAUUCUGUCUGAAUAUGGGGCGACCACGCUCCAAGCCUAAGUACUCCUAUACGACCGAUAGCGAACAAGUACCGUGAGGGAAAGGUGAAAAGCACCCCGAUAAGGGGAAUGAAAUAGUAUCUGAAACAGGAUGCCUACAAGCAGUUGGAGCCCCUUUAUGGGGUGACAGCGUACCUCUUGUAUAAUGGGUCUGCGACUUAAUGUUACCAGCAAGCUUAAGCCGAUAGGUGGAGGCGUAGCGAAAGCGAGUCUGAAUAGGGCGUAUAGUUGGUGGCAUUAGACCCGAAGCUGAGUGAUCUAGCCAUGAGCAGGAUGAAGUUGGGGUAACAC